UGCUGCUCCAUGGGCCACAGCGGAACAAGUGACUUAGUCCACUGCGUCUGUGCGUUUUGUUUAAACCAUGUCUGCAGCUGGUCCUGGCUAUACUUCCCCAGGAACAUCCAAUCAUAUGGCCCCGUGACACUUCAGUCUGCUCCACGCUCAGCUAGAAAAGAUGGCUCUCACGAGAUCCACAGAACUCACCUGGCUUUCACCCCACAUCACAUUCUCUUACACAGUGGGCCUUGCAGGGGUUUCUUCAUUUGUGAAACCACGGGUAACUUGCAAUGGCUGACCACCUAUCCCCGUGACCUUUGCAGCUGCCACUACAAAAUCAUGGCUCUACAGCCGCUUCCUACACAUAGGGUUUUCCUUUUGGAGGAAGAGAUGGCCUCUUGCAAGAGUCCCAGGCGAGGAAUGGAACGGAUGCCUAAAUGUAUCUUGACGUCUCCUCUGCUUCCUGAGAAAAGACAUUCAUUCACCUGCCCACCCACAGAUUUUCUUAUUUGGAUAUAAUCUCCCAAAUUGAGGGUGAAUCACUUAUCCUCUCUCUUUCAAUUGCUGCUAAAGGAAAAUUUCAUUUUUAGAAAAACUAAAUUGUUUUCUAGACGUUCUUACCGUGCCAAGAUGGACGCCUGAGCAGCUGAGAGCAGACGGAGCAGGUGGUGAGGAAGGUGAAGCCCAUGUGGGACCGACCCUCGUCCUUUCUGCUUCGCCUCGGACGAGGGGAGUAAACGAUGUCUUUUUCCCCGUGGACAAAGGGGCAUCAAGGAUUGGAGCCUGA